rnacentral:lncRNA from 1 species
CCUAGCAAUCCUAACCCUAACCCUCCUCGGAACACUUCUGAUUCCUCUGCUCCAUACAUACUUGUUCAGCUUCACAUCCACUCUCACAUCUGUUGUCCCCAUUGCAUUCUGUGCAAACUUCUUGAUCUCCUUAAUUGCCUUUGGUGCCUUCUUCUUGAAUGUGCUGUACCAUCCAUGAAGGCGUUUGUGGAGGUUGAUGGUGUACUCUCUAGUCACAACCUCUUCCUUUCUACCUUUAGUUUUCUCCACCAUUU